UCGUCCACAUCUCUGAGACAGUCUGCUGAAGUUGUGAAGCCCUGACGGUCAACUCACUGAAACCAUGCUGAAGGUUGUAUUUCUGCUUGGAUGCCUGCUGAGCCUUGCUCUGGCAAAUCCUACUGACUCGGAACACGAGCGCGUUGCACGUUCUUCUUCUUCUGAGAGGAAUCCUGGAAUUGCUACCAGUCCUCUUGCCGCACUCCUUCCUCUUCUGCUCCAGAAUCCAACGCUCCUUACGCAGAAUCCACAGCUCCUUGCACUGCUGCUUGCUGCUUUAAGAUAAGCUGUUUCUGCACCAACAGCUACUACUGCUACAAAUGAUAAAUUGGAAAUGAACCAACAAUGAAUAAAAG